UACCAGCGCCCCGAGUGGUCGGGACGUUUAUUGGGCCUAAAGCAUCCGUAGCCGGUUUUACAAGUCCUCCGUUAAAUCCAGCUGCUUAACAGAUGGGCUGCGGAGGAUACUAUAAGACUAGGAGGCAGGAGAGGCAAGCGGUACUCAGUGGGUAGGGGUAAAAUCCGUUGAUCCAUUGAAGACCACCAGUGGCGAAGGCGGCUUGCCAGAAUGCGCUCGACGGUGAGGGAUGAAAGCUGGGGGAGCAAACCGG
rnacentral:rRNA from 1 species